rnacentral:rRNA from 1 species
CCCUAUGGGGUGCAGCAGCCGCGAAAACUUUACAAUGCACGAAAGUGUGAUAAGGGUAUCCCAAGUGCUUGCCGCAAGGUAGGCUUUUGCCAAGUGUAAAUAGCUUGGAGAAUAAGUGGUGGGUAAUACCGGUGCCAGCAGCCGCGGUAACACCGGAGCCACAAGUUGUAACCACGUUUAUUGGGCCUAAAGGGUUCGUAGCCGGUUUGGUAACUCUUUUGUGAAAUUGUCUGGCUUAACUAGACAACGUGCAAGAGAAACUGCCAAACUAGAGACCGGGAAGAGACUGAAGUAUUCUGAGGGGAGUGGUAGAAUGCUAUAAUCCUCAGAGGACUACCGAUGGCGAAGGCAUCAGUCUAGAACGGGUCUGACGGUGAGGGACGAAAGCCAGGGGAGCGAUCGGGAUUAGAUACCCCAGUAGUCCUGGCUGUAAACGCUGUGAACUAAGUGUCGCAUAUCUUCCGAGGAUAUGCGGUGCUGGAGCGAAGGUGUUAAGUUCACCGCCUGGGAAGUACGGCCGCAAGACUGAAACUUUAAGGAAUUGGCGGGGACGCACACAAGGAGUGACGCGUGCGGUUUAAUCUAACUACACUCAGAAAAUCUUACCAGGGGCGACGGCAGAAUGAAGGUCAGAUUGAAAGUUUUACCUGACAAGCCGAGAAGAAGUGCAUGGCCAA